AUGCAUCCACUGAUAGACCUGAAGCAAGCGGCAUUGGCUUCUGCGUUUGCAAAGAGAUGCAACACUAAACUUUCCUCUUGCUUUCUGACUGCUACUACUCUAACUUGGCAGCCCAGUUUGACUUGGGGAAGAACAUCU
rnacentral:snoRNA from 1 species